rnacentral:rRNA from 1 species
CCUACGGGAGGCAGCAGUGGGGAAUCUUGCGCAAUGGGCGAAAGCCUGACGCAGCCAUGCCGCGUGUAUGAUGAAGGUCUUAGGAUUGUAAAAUACUUUCACCGGUGAAGAUAAUGACUGUAGCCGGAGAAGAAGCCCCGGCUAACUUCGUGCCAGCAGCCGCGGUAAUACGAAGGGGGCUAGCGUUGCUCGGAAUUACUGGGCGUAAAGGGAGCGUAGGCGGACAUUUAAGUCAGGGGUGAAAUCCCAGAGCUCAACUCUGGAACUGCCUUUGAUACUGGGUGUCUUGAGUGUGAUAGAGGUAUGUGGAACUCCGAGUGUAGAGGUGAAAUUCGUAGAUAUUCGGAAGAACACCAGUGGCGAAGGCGACAUACUGGAUCAUUACUGACGCUGAGGCUCGAAAGCGUGGGGAGCAAACAGGAUUAGAUACCCUGGUAGUCCACGCCGUAAACGAUGAUUGCUAGUUGUCGGGAUGUUUACAUCUCGGUGACGCAGCUAACGCAUUAAGCAAUCCGCCUGGGGAGUACGGUCGCAAGAUUAAAACUCAAAAGUAGUAAGUACGGNGCGAGAGAGCGACGACGACGACGAGGAGGAGGAGG